rnacentral:tRNA from 1 species
GUAGGGGUUAACAUGCCUGCCUGUCACGCAGGAGAUCGCGGGUUCAAAUCCCGUC